AAGCCUCGCAACAGCCUCAGCCACUAACAACAGCACGCUUGGGGGGGGAUAUCGUAAAUUGUUUUGCCGUAAGUGAAGGAAGUGGCGCUGCGGCGACCACCCAACUGCGCCUGCGCGAAGGGAAGGCCCCCCCCCCCGCCAGGAUGGAUGCAGCAUGACAGAAUGGCCGGAUCCCUCAGAUGGAGACCAGGACCUUGAGGUGGAACCAGAUGAACGUCUUCUUGGCUUGUCUGGACCCUAGUAUGGAGAAAGAACUAAAGGGAGCCUCUCUUCAUGCUAUUAUGACGUUUUAUAUGAGGAACAGCUCAGCAAGAAGGGGACGUGUACGGGCCCAGGAGACAGAAUGUGCCGGUUGGGAGGGAGGUGUCCAGAAGAGAGAAAGGGAGACGACUGAUAGGCAUCAGUGGGGUGAAGGAAGUUAAGGACUUUUCUUUCAAAAAAUACAACAGGAAACUAACUGCAAAUAAUAGGUUAAUGCAAAAUUAAAUUUACUUGUUUUUAAAACGAAAACCCCGAGAAAAUACAAAUAUUAAGGUACAUAUUGAUAGCUGUGUUGCACACAUGUAAUGCAGAUGAACCUUGAUUAUCCACGCCUCUUUUUAUCUGAAACAAGGUUGGAUGUCUCAAAGCCUGUUGUUCACACAGAAAAUUUCUUUGGUUAUCUGAACACUUGCUUAUCCAAAUGUAGUCAAUUUCUCCUUUUACACUUAGAUAACCAAGACUACUAAAAAAAAGGAGUACUUUUGGCACCUUAGAGACUAACAAAUUUAUUUGAGCAUAAGCUUUCGUGAGCUACAGCUCACUUCAUCGACUGUAGCUCACGAAAGCUUUUGCUCAAAUAAAUUUCUUAGUCGCUAAGGUGCCACAAGUACUCCUUUUCUUUUUGCGGAUACAGACUAACACAGCUGCUACUCUGAAACAAGACUGUACUUAAUUUCUAAUGACUAGUUAAAUUGUUUAAAUGUAUGCUUUAAUAGACAAUAUAUGCAAUGUGAGCAAAUUCAUGUUAUGGGAGUCUUAACCUUAACAUUUCCAUGUUUAAAUAUAUAACUUUAAUAUUGGAUUGAUGUUAUUUUAUGAAUUCGUUAUAGCUCUUUAAUGUUAAGGUGAGGUUGCAUAAAAUGUAAUUCAUGCUGCAGAAACUGACCCCUCCCUAUUUUACCAUCCUGCUACUACCCAAUAGAUUUUCUAGUGUUCUUCAUUUCAAGAUUUUUCCCCUGUACUGUAUCCCAGAUCUGUCCCAAAUCAGGUUGAGAGGGACUAUGUUAGAAUGUCAUAUGUAGCGGGGCCACUUGUCCUUCAUUUGGUGCCUGUUUCACAUUACAUGUCAAAUUAAUCAAUAAAUAUUGUCUUGUAUGCACCAAAAAUCAUGCAAGGGAUUGCACACUGUAAUAAAAUGUGUUACUUAGAGACGAGUGUGUGUCACAAAUAAAACCUUGGGGAUGUGCCCUUAAAAAUAAACUUUCUCCUGUAAUUUC